GGUCUAGUGCUGUGUGGAAGACUAGUGAUUUUGUUGUUCUGAUAUACUAUGACAACAAGUCACAGCUUCCUCACAGCGUGGACU
rfam:Ovis aries breed Texel chromosome 5, whole genome shotgun sequence.